AGUACACGUUGAUGAUCUAGUUCACAUGCACUUUCAAUUAGAAAUUUAUCAAGUUAGAAAUGAACUAAGUAGUUCGUUAGGGACGAUGAAUAUUAGCAUAUAAUGAUUAUCUUAUCCCUUUGCAGCGAUGACUCAUCGACUAGGUGAGAUGAAUUAACCCCCAGCCGUAGAUCAGUUUAGCCCACAUGUGUUAAAAGGUGAAAACAAUUAUUCCUUGGGGAUUAAAAGAGUUACGGUGCAGCCCCCUUUCCCAAUUAGUUCAUUCUCUUCCUUUUCUUGGUUUUGUCUUAUAUGCCAGAACAAAUAUCUUACAUCAAACUUGUUCUCCAAGUUCAAUUUACGGCCCUUGAAUUAAAUCAAGGUGGGGCAAUCUUCACCGUUCAGAAUUGUAUAAAAGGUGCAGCCCCUCUCCCUUCAUCCACGCUCAUCUCCUUCUUCUCGUUUUCCAUCUCCGUUUCUCAUCCUUUCUCUGCAAACUCUCUCAUUCCUUCUUCUUUCUUCUCUGUUCUCCUCCUUUCCCGUUCUUCCCUUUACUCUCUCUUGCCGAGAGACACAGGGAGACUGAAUGAGAGAGUGAGAGACCGUGAGAUGGAGAGAAGAAGCUGAGCAGGAGACCCAGAAAAACCGGGUCUCUCUCUCUCUAGUUUUCAUUUCUUUUUCUUUAGUACAAUAACUUGUCCAGCAGCAAGAAAGGAAGUUCAGAAGACAGAAGUCUUUAUUCCGUGGAUCUCUCUUUGUAGCAGAGAACUGUUUAUAGACAAAGAUUAGAACUCGAGUGGUCUUCAAGUUAAAGAUAUAUAGUUUGUAUUUUGUUUGUAGUCUUCUGUGUUUAUAACAUUUUAUGUUGACAAGAUUGCUAAUAAUUUCCAUGUAUUCUCUUGUGUCACUAUGGACACCUGUUUCCAUGUAUUUGUUCUAAGUAUUUUCUAAUGAAUGUC